CUAUACUGCAGUCGAGCGAAUCUGAUGGGAGCUUGCUCCUUGUCAGAUUAGCGGCGGACGGGUGAGUAACACGUGGGUAACCUGCCUGUAAAACUGGGAUAACUCCGGGAAACCGGGGCUAAUACCGGAUAAUUUUUUCCUUCGCAUGAAGGAAAAUUGAAAGGGGGCACUAGCUACCACUUACAGAUGGACCCGCGGCGCAUUAGCUAGUUGGUGAGGUAACGGCUCACCAAGGCGACGAUGCGUAGCCGACUUGAGAGGGUGAUCGGCCACACUGGGACUGAAACACGGCCCAAACUCCUACGGGAGGCAGCAGUAGGGAAUCUUCCGCAAUGGACGAAAGUCUGACGGAGCAACGCCGCGUGAGUGAUGAAGGUUUUCGGAUCGUAAAACUCUGUUGUUAGGGAAAAACAAGUAUCGUUCGAAUAGGGCGGUACCUUGACGGUACCUAACCAAAAAGCCACGGCUAACUACGUGCCAGCAGCCGCGGUAAUACGUAGGUGGCAAGCGUUGUCCGGAAUUAUUGGGCGUAAAGCGCGCGCAGGCGGUUUCUUAAGUCUGAUGUGA
rnacentral:rRNA from 2 species